GCGGCAGUAGCUCAGCUGGAUAGAGCAUCGGCCUUCUAAGCCGAGGGGCGGGGGUUCGAGUCCCUCCUGCCGCGCCA
rnacentral:tRNA from 5 species